AUAAAUAAAAAAUUUAAAAAAGUAUUUGAUAAUCAAUUCUGCAAAUAUUUAAUGAACACCUGUUGUAAGUGCUGUGCUAUGUCUUCGUGAUUUGAUAGUGAAUAAAAAGACACAAUUUCUGCCCUUAUGGAGCUUUUGGUCUGAUAGGAGAAAUUGACAUUGAUGAAACAAUCACAAAUUACAGUUGUCCCUCAGUAUAAUCUGGGUAUUGGUUUCAGGGCCCCUGCAUAUACCAAAAAUCCAUGCAUACUUAAGUCCUAAAGUUAGACCUACAGAACCCACUUAUAUGAAAAGGUUGGCCCUCUGUAUACCCAGGUUUCAUAUCUCUCAAAUACUGCAUUUUCCAUUGCCUUUUGUUGAAAAAAAUUCACGUAUAAGUGAACCUGUGAAGUUCAAACUUGUGUUGUUCAAGAGGCAACUGUAUUAUAAAAUUACAGUUGUGUUCAAUGCUAAGGAAAGGCAAAUGGUUCAAUGAGAACAUUUAAUAAUAGGGAGAUUUGGCAUAGUGUCACUGAACCAAGAAUUGAAGGAUAAGUAGGUGAAAGGACGUGGAGGGAAGUGAAGAGGGUGAAAGGAGUUUGCUAGGUAGUGGGAAAAGCAUACUCAAAGGUCUAUAAGAAUGGAAGAGUCAAGAAACAGAAAGACCAGCAAAGAAAAUAAUGGUAGAGAUGAGACUGAGAGAUAGGCAGGGGUCAAAUCAUGCAGGUCCUGUAGGCCAAGGCAAGAGAUUUGAUAAGAGCUAUAGAAACUGAAGUGUUUUAAGCAGGGUUGGGGCAUGGCUAAUUAGUCAGAUAAGGGCUACAUAUUCAGUUUUGCAUUUGAAAUUAUCUGUUGGCAGCACUGAGGAGAAUGGAUUUGAAGAGGAGAAGAUUGUAUGUGAAGUCCAAGUGGGAGAUAGUUGGAUUAUUCCAGGUGGAAGACUGUGGUGGUUUAGGCUAGGAGGAUAAUAGCCAGAGAUUUCAAGAAGGGGAUAGAGAUAGUUAGUUGCUAGAACUCAUGAUGACUUGAAAUGGAUUGACUGGGGUUGGGAUGUGAAAGAGAGGCAGGUCAUGGAUUAUUCAUAGGAUUCCUGUUUGUGCAGCUGGAUUCUGUUUUCUGAGAUAGGGAAUACAGGAAGAAAACUGUUUUGAGAGGCAGAGUUAGAUUUUGGGCAUGUAGAAUUUGAGAUACCCUGGGGACUUCCAGGUGGAGAUAAAAGUAGGUAGAAUAUAAGCUCAUAUUAUGGUAUCAUAUUAUCUAGGCACAAAUUCUGCCUCCUCUACUCCCUGGUUUGUGAUAAGGACAAGUUACUUAGCCUACUUUUAAGAAGUAAAAAAGAAUGAGGACUGAGCAUGGAGCUUAGAUGAAACAUAUGGCCUGGAGAUAUGGAUGUAUGACUCAUUUGCAUAUAGGUGGAUGUAGUUUAAGUAAAGGGUAAGAAUAAAGUCUUCCAGGGAGAAAGUGCAGAAUGAAAGAAGGCAGCCUGUGUGAUACCAAGUGUGUUCACUGCCUUCUCCUGAAACUCUCAUUCGUGGAACUCUGAGAGUACCCUGUCCUGGCUCUCCUCCCACCUCUUUUCUGCCACUCAACUAUUGCUGUACCCCAAGUAUUGAUCCUUUCCGUUUUUUUUUUUUUUUUUAAACCUUGGAGAGCUUAAUGGUUUUGUUGCUUCCACUAUCCAUUUUAUGUGGAGUAAUUUCAAAAUCUGUAUUUCCAAUCCUUACCUCUUUCCUGAGUUUCUAAUAUCUACCUUAGCUGUAUUCUAGAAUUUCUACAUAGAUGUCUUUUCAUCUUCCCAAAUGCAACAUAUCUGAAUUUUUUUUUUUUUUUUUUGAGACAGAGUCUUGCUCUGUUGCCCAGGCUGGAGUGUAGUGGCGCAAUCUCAGCUCACUGCAAACUCUGCCUCUUGGGUUCAUGCCAUUCUCCUGCCUCAGCCUCCCAAGUAGCUGGGACUGCAGGUGCCCGCCACCACGCCUGGCUAAUUUUUUUGUGUUUUUAGUAGAGACGGGGUUUCACCAUGUUAUCCAGGAUGGUCUCAAUCUCCUGACCUCAUGAUCCGCCCGCCUCGGCCUCCCAAAUAUCUGAAAUUUUUAUUACUCAUCUUUCCUCUCUGGAUUCACCUUGCGAUUCCCCUGUUUCUAUCUGUGGUAUUAAUCACUCCCAACACUUAAGCAUUUUUUACUCUUUCUCAUCCCCAUUUUUCUAACAAACAUUACAUUAUUCAGCUUUAUUUCUCUCCUUUCCAUUUCCUUUUUGCUACUAAUUACUAGUUCAGUCCUAAUUAUUUCAUUCUUGGAUUCUUUCAGUAACACAUUUAAUAAUAUGGGAGGACAUGACUAUCAAAAGAUACGAUUACAGCAAAUUUAGCUUCAAGUUCAAAUUGGCUUUUAUUUGUGAUUCCAGAAUCAACACCUCAUUUUAUAAAAUAGAAUGAGUGUUCAGAUGAAGUGAGCAGAGGAGUUUGGCUUCAUAGGCAGAAAAGGGUAGAAGAAAGCAGAAAUGGAACAAAAAGUAGAUUGGUCGGUUCAAAAUUUCUUUCCUUAUAGUGUUAAAACAGGGAACAUCCUCAUCAUGCUAGCUUAGGUAAUCCGUACUCCUGAUUGGCUGCUAUGAAUCUUCUGUUUUUGGAAAACUGGCCUGUUUCAGAGGUCAGUUUGAUUAUGUGGCACCUAAUGUGAACGACUUCAUUCUGGUUGGUUUGAUCUCUUGGAACCUCGUGCAGGAAGCUAGUCCAAACAGUGGCCUCCCAUACUUUGUUUACAUGGCAUAGUUCAGAAUAUAAGCUCAUAUUAUGGUGUCAUAUUAUCUAGGUACAAAUUCUGCCUUCUCUACUCCCUAGUUUGUGAUAAGGACAAGUUACUUAGCAUCUCUUUGACUCAAUUUUCUCACUUAUAAAAUGGGGAUAAUACACUUGAGCAUGGGAGGUAGAGGCUGUAGUGAGCUAUGAUCACACCACUGCACUCUAGCCUGGACAACAUCUCACCCAGGCUAGAAAUCUCACCUUUGAAAUCUCUUAAAUGAUAAGAGUGGCUUUUGAAUGCUAGUGAGAUGACUGGUUGCAGGAUGGGGGCUGGUCACCAGAAAGACCGAGGCAUGAUGAGUGUUGGGACUUUCAGCCCCAUCUCCCAGCCACCAGGGAGGGGAGAGAGGCUGCAGACUGAGUUGAUCACCAAUGACCAGUGUAAUCAAUCAUGCCUAUGUAAUAAAGUUUCCAUAAAAAGUUAAAAGGAUAGCUUGUGGGGAGCUUCUGAAUAGCUGAACAUAUAGAGGUUCCUUGAGGGUGGCAUGCUCAGAGAGGGCAUGGAAGCUUCAUACCCCCCUCACAUGCCUUGCCCUAUGUACCUCUUCCAGCUGGCUGUUCAUCUGUAUCCUUUGUAAUAUCCUCCGUAAUUAGUGAGUUGAUGUAAGUAAAAUGUUUGCCUGAGUUCUGUAAGCUGCUCUAGCAAGUUAACUGAAUCUAAGGAGGGGGUUGUAGGGGCUCCCAAUUUAUUGCUGGUCAGUCAGAAGUAUGGGUGACAGUCUACUACUUGUGACUGGCAUCUGAAGCGGGGGGAAUUCUUGCGGGCCUGAGCCCUCAACCUGUGGGAUUUGACCCUAUUUCCAAGUAUAUAGAAUCAUAAUUGAACUAGAAGACACCCAGCUGAUGUCCACUGCAGAGCUGAUUGCUUGGUGUGUGGGGAAAUAACUCCCACACAUGUGGUGUGGGAAGUGUUGUGUUGAGUGGUAUGUGAGAGUGGAGGGGAAAAAAUGUUCACUAAUUCAAUUUCCUUUGUAGGGUUGUGAUGAGAAUUAAAUUAAAAAGUGCAUGUUAGCACAGUGUCUACCAAGUAAUAAUAACUAAAUACAUUAUAGAUAUUGUAUAGUAUUGUUAUUCUUUAUUCUUACUCUUAUUAGAUGAAUAGCUCCCUGCCUUCCCUUAUAUCUCUCUUGGCUCAAUCCAUCCUACGUCAUUGCCAGAUGAAUCUUCCUAAAACUUUAAUCAAGUUAUUCUGCUUAAGCACUUGCAGUGACUUCUCUUUGCCAGAGUAAAUUCAGUUUGCCUGGGUUCCUGCACAAUCUGGAGCCAUCGUGCCUUUUCAGUCUUAUUUCCCCUCUACUCAAGUCCUCUACUCUAGCUAGUUUUGUUUCUUCGCUGUCCUGAAAGCCACUUGGUUUAUUUAACUCUGUGCCCUAUACUGCCUUCUUUAUCUAGAUUGACCUCUCCUCUCUUUCCAAAUCCUGUGGAGCUCUUGAAUUCUCAGCUCCAACUCACCUCUUCUACCAAGCCCUGCCUAACUACCCUUAAGCCAUCGGAAUCUGACCAUCUUUGAAAUUUUUGUAGCACUUGCUUUUAUUUGUCAUUUAACAUCUACAACAUUUAGAUCGAGACUGUUACUAUUCUGUUUAGUCUUAUCUUUUCUUCUUGAGAUGCUCAUUCCUUUCCAAUCUUACUUUCUGAUAUUUCAUAAUGUGAACCCUUCACCAGUAUGUUUACUAAACACUCAAAUGUCAGCUCUGAUGAUGAUGGACAAUCAAAAAUGUCCCCAGACAUCACCAAAUGUCCACCGUGAGGUCAACAUAUCCAGGAUUGAGAAUCAGCAUCUAGUAUUCACAACAUCUAGCAUUGCUACAUGAUGAUGAUGAUGAUGAAGAGAUGAUGUACAUUUCCACUGAUAGUCAUACACGGCCUUCUCUGUUUAUGUCUUUCCAGCAAUCACAAAGGCAGUGUGUUAUACAGGAAACAGCAACAAAGGAUCAGGAAUCAGGAGACUAAAGUUCUGGUCUCAGUAAUUUGCUCUCAUAAUUUGGAUAAGUUAGUCAGUCUGUGUUUCAGCUACUUCACCUACAAAAUCAAUAGUUAAAUGAGAUAUUGUUAAUUGCUUCCAUUCUAAAAUUCUUUUCUUCUUAAAUCUAUUUUUUAAAGGCCAACUCAUUUUUCUCAAUUAUUCUUACUUACAUAUUAAGCAUUUUUACUCACAAUUUGCCUUACUGUUAUUACUUUUCCAAGUAUAUGUGUCUUAUUCUCUCAAGAAUAUUAAGCUUUUUGGGGCACCAUAUGUCUUACAUUUGUUGUUAUUCAUAACAUCUAGUAUUGCCACAUGUACAAUGAAAAUCAAGUUUGGUUGAAUUAAUUUUGCUUUAUUUUCAUUUUUGGUAAUUUUAGCCUUGGGAUCCCUCAGAAGAAGAACAUUUAGUUACUACCUUUCACUUAGUAAUUUAUUUCACUUAGUUCCUGUCCUGAAAUUACUAAUAAUAAAUGAGAUUCCUCAUUUGGGAGGGACAGAUGUUGUAAAUGUUGAUGCAGAGUGAAAGAUAUUAAUGUUGUAAAUCAGGGUUUCUCAACCUCAGCACUAUUGACGUUUUUGUCUUGAUACUUCUUUUUUUAUUUUUAAUUUAAUUUAAUUUAAUUUAUUUUAUUUUAUUUUUGAGAUGGAGUCUCACUCUGUCGCCCAGGCUGGAGUGCAGUGGUGCAAUCUUGGCUCACUGAAAGCUCCGCCUCCCGGGUUCACGCCAUUCUCCUGCCUCAGCCUCCCGAGUAGCUGGGACUACAGGCACCCGCCACCACGCCCGGCUAAUUUUUUGUAUUUCUAGUAGAGACGGGGUUUCACUGUGUUAGCCAGGAUGGUCUUGAUCUCCUGACCUCAUGAUCCACUUGCCUCGGCCUCCCAAAGUGCUGGGAUUACAGGCGUGAGCCACCCGCCCAGCCUUGUCUUGAUACUUCUUUGUUAUGGGGGCUGUUCUGUGCAUUUUAGGAUGUUUGGCAGCAUUCCUGGCCUCUACCCACUAGAUGCAGCAGCACUCUUUCGAUUGUGACCAUCAAAAAUGUCUCUAGACAUCACCAAAAGUCUACUGUGGGAGUUACAACAUCCAGGAUUGAGAAUCAACUAUUUUAAAUAAAAGGAAGACUAGACAUGCCAGAUUGUGAGUGAGGUUUUCUUGUAUUUCUUUUCUUUUCUUUUUUUUUGAAUUUUACUUUAAGCUCUGGGAUACAUAUGCAGAAUGUGCAGGUUUGUUACAUAGGUAUUCGUGUGCCAUGGUGGUUUGCUGCACCUAUCAACCCGUCAUCUAGGUUUUAAGCCCCUCAUGCAUUAGGUAUUUGUCCUAAUGUUCUCCCUCCCCUUGCCCCCCACCCCCUGACAGGCCCCCAUGUGUGAUGUUCCCCUUCCUGUGUCCAUGUGUUCUCACUGUUCAACUCUCACUUAUGAGUGAGAACAUGCAGCGUUUGGUUUUCUGUUCUUGGGUUAGUUUGCUGAGGCUGAUGGUUUCCAGCUUCAUCCAUGUCCCUGCAAAGGACAUGAACUCGUGAAUGAGGUUUUCUUUACAUCAUAUUUCUUUGUAUCUGAUUUACUUCUUAAAUUUUUAGAAAUAAGAGAUCCUCUGUCACUUUAUCCAAUUACCUCCACUGGUAACAUCUUGCAAAACUACAGUGCAAUAUCACACAAGGAUAUUAACACUGAUAAGGUCAAGAUAAAGAACAAAGUUCCCUCAUGUUGCCAUUUUAUAUCCACACCCAAUGUCUUUCCACCCUAACUUCCUAUUUAAAUGGAAUCAUACAGUAUAGAACUUUUUGGGAUUUUUUUUUUUUCACUCAAAAAAUUAUCUGGAGAUUCAUCCAGGUUGUUGUUCUUUUCCAUUGUUGAGCAGUAUUCCAUGGCUUGGAUGUAUCACAGUUUGUUUAAACAUUUACCCGCUGGGGGACAUCUGGAUUAUUUCCAUUUUUUUUUUUUUUUUGCAAUUUUGAACAGUGUUACUAUAAACAUUCACAUACAGAUUUUUGUGUGAGUAUGUUUUCAUUUCUCUGGGAUAAAUGCUCAAGAGUACAGUUGCCUGGCUACAUGGUAGUUGCAUGUUUAGUUUUAAAAGAAACUGCCAAACUAAUUUAUUUUCAUGUACAUUUUACAUUCCCAUCAGUGGUGUAUGAAUGAUGCAGUUUUUGUGCAUCCUCACCAGCAUUUGGUGUUGUCAGUUUUUAAUUUCAGCCACCCUCUAGGUAUGUAGUAACAUUCCAUUGUGGUUUUAAUCUACAUUAAAUUCAAUGUAGCUAAUAAUGUUGAAAAUCUUUUCAUGCAUUUUUUAUUUGAAUAUUCUCUUUAGUGAACUGUUUUCAUGUCUUUUGCUAAUUUUCCAGUUGUAUUAUUUAUUUUUUUAAUGUUGAAUUUUCAGAGUUCUUUAUAUAUUCUAGAUACUAGUCUUUUGCCAAAUAGGUGGUAUGAAAAUAUGUUCUCCUGGUCUAUAGGUUGUAUUUUUAUGCCCUUAAUAGAGCCUUUCACCAAGCAAAGCUUUUAAAAUUUAUUAAGUCCAAUUAAUUAAUUUUUCCUUUUAUGGAUCAUACAUUUAGUGGCAAGUCUAAGAACUCUUUACUUAGUUCCAAAUCCCCCAAAUUUUCUCCUUUUUUUCUAAAAGUUUUAUAUAGUUUUACAUUUUGUAUAUUUAAGUCUGUGAUCCAUCCUGAGUUAAUUUUUGUAUAAGGUGGAUAUGGUUUGGAUAUGGUUUGUUUGUCUCCACCAAAACUCAUGUUGAAAUUUGAUCCCCUAUGUGGUGAUGUUGGGCUGUGGGACCUAGUGGGAAGUGUUUGGGUUUUGGGGGUGGAUCCCUCAUGAAAUGGCUUUGCAUUCUCACUCUGGCAACACAGGAAUGGAUUAGUUCCCAUAAGAGUGGGUUGUUAUAAAGCCCAGAUGCUCUUCAGGUUUUCUCUCUUUGUACCUGUUCUCUUCUCUUUUGACCUUGUCUGCCAUGUUAUGACACCCUCACCAGAAGCCAGGGUGGCCAUGUCCUUGAACUUCCAAGCCUGCAGAACCAUGAGCUAAAUAAACCUCUUUUCUUUCUAAAUUACCCAAUCUCAGGUGUUUAGAGAAUGGUUUACCCUUAGAGAAUGGUUCUGGUGAACUUCUGGAUUUAAAAUCUCCUUACUAAUUAAGUACUGUUUUAACUGGGGGCAGAAUGUGUGCCUUAAAAGAACGUAGGGACCUAAUGGCUGUUUUCCUGCUGAUGGGACAGUAUCAGAACUAAAAUUUGGCUUUGGAGGACAUUUUACUCCUAAUUGUUGAAGGCAGUGUUUUCGCAUUCACAGAAGGGGCAUAAAGCCUGGUCUCUAGUAUAGGGGUGCAAAAAGGGAGGAGAAUUGGGAGGCUAGAGUGUUACAGCAAUGGACCAACGCUGUGCCUCAUGGAGAGGAUUCCUAUUCCACUAGGUGGCGACGUUGACCUAGAAAUACCGUGCGCUUCCCAGAGGAAGGGUAGAGGGAGAAAUGCUUAUUGAGAAGGGCUCUUUGCUCCUAGAAAAUGACAGAAAACAGCAUUCCCUUGUGCUAUAUUCUCAGUUACUAUGGCAUUCGCUAAUCUUUCCUAACAGGACUAUUUUCCUGAACUGUAAAAAUUCUCAAACACUGCAUACACAGAGAGGAUAGGAGACAUGGCCUUUGCGGAUAGGAAAUGAGGAAAUUUUGCGAUAGGACAGCUGUAGAUCCUGUUGCGGACACCCAGCCGGGCAGUUGGAGGUGGGGUCAGUCCAGAAGCCUUCAGAUAACACCAGGGUGUAGUCCUGGCGAGAAAUCUUCAGUUGCUUCAGGACCUUUUCUAGCCCCACGCGACGGCUAGGUCCUCCGUGAGAGAAAACUGGUUCGAGAAGCAUGGCCAACAUUCCCAAUGAUCCGCAGAUGUGGUUUCCACCUGGCCGGUGCCAUGACACCCACACACAUGGCGACAAGGAGAAGGGAGAAGAAAACCUAUUUGUUGUAUAUACCUGGCUUUUGGCACAGCUGCCGGGAUUCACCUGUGCAAGUUUCCAGCUUGCUUAUCUAUGCUUGCAGCUUGAUUUUUCAGGCUACUUUCUGUUAGAAAAGAAAUGAUUUGGGGGCUGCUUUCUAUUAAAAGAAAAACCUUACCAAGGACUCCUGUACCCUCACUAUCUGCCUAAAUAAUUUCUUAACGCCUAUAUUAUUCCCUUUAAAUAAAUUUUUUUGUGGUGUUUGUCUUAUUGUUA